GUUCACAGCAACACCAUGCUGGUAACAAACACUGAGUCCUGCCAACCCAGACAGGCAGAAAUCGUGAGCUGGGUUCUCACCAAGCACAGCAUCAGCUCUAAAACGGAGCAAAGAAGGCACUUAGAUUCCAGGAGCGGGAAGUUUUGGAACAGGAGCAGACAGAAGAUAUUGCCGUGGUUGGGCUAAAAGUGAGACAGAACUUUUCCCUUGCUCCUGAGGGAUGUACAUUGGGAACAGGCAAAAGCUGCUGUCCUUUGCUCUCUGCUGUACAACCUGCCCUUGGCAUCUCACGACUUCACAUCUGGAAAAGUGCUUUUGGGGAGGUGGGAGUGAUGCUCCUGGUCCUGCUUCCCAAGCUGGUCCGAAACCUCCACGGCCAGCGCA